rnacentral:rRNA from 1 species
UACGUAGGUGGCAAGCGUUGUCCGGAAUUAUUGGGCGUAAAGCGCGCGCAGGCGGUCCUUUAAGUCUGAUGUGAAAGCCCACGGCUCAACCGUGGAGGGUCAUUGGAAACUGGGGGACUUGAGUGCAGGAGAGAAGAGUGGAAUUCCACGUGUAGCGGUGAAAUGCGUAGAGAUCCGGAAGAACACCGGUGGCGAAGGCGGCCCGCUGGGCAACUGCUGACACUGAUGCGCGACAGCGUGGGGAGCAAACAGGG